UGCCCCGCGCAGGAACCCGGCACCCGGCACCCGCGCGGCCGAGCUGCACAAAAGUAAUGAGAAAACCCGCCGCUGUCGCCACGCCGACGCCGACGCCGGUCGCCGAGGAGGCGCGCGCGCCCCCAGUUCCAUUCCACCGACGCCGAUCACGUCGUCUCCUCCCCGUCCGGUGCCACUUUUUCUCCCCACCCACCCGAAGCGCAUCCAAAGCUCAAAACCCCGGGCGCUUGUCCCCUCUUUAUAUAACAACCCCAGACGUGCCUACCACGAGACGUCUUUUGACCUCCGUGAUUUUUUCCGCUGCCCCGCCCGCCACGGACGGAUGGACCUCAAGGAGCGGAUCCGCCGCUCGUCGUCGCAGCGGGAGGAGGAGGCGCUCGUGGCGGCGGCGGCGUCGCCGCGCGGGAGGAAGGGCGGGGCGGCGAUGCUGCUGCUGCGCUGGUCCGUCUCGGCCGGCGCGCUCCUCGUGUUCGGCGUCCUCCUGCUCCUGCUCGCCGGAGGCUCCGCGGCGCGGAGGGGCCAGUUCCUCGGCGCCGAUUCUUCCUGGGACGGUGGCCGCCACGAUCUGCGCCUCGUCCGUCCGCCUGAUGAAGAUGGCACUUCAGGAUCUCCGGAAGUUGUCAGGGACAAACUACUUGGUGGCUUGUUAGUUCCUGGUUUUGAUGCGCAGGCUUGCCUAAGUAGAUAUCAAUCAGCGCUGUAUCGUCGAACAUCACCCCACUUUCCAUCUACCUACCUCUUGGAAAGAUUAAGGGAACAUGAGGCUCUCCAGAAGAAGUGUGGUCCACAUACUGAAUUCUACAGGAAGGCUGUUGAGCAGCUUAAGUCUGGCCAGGAUAUUAAGGUUAUGGACUGCAACUAUUUGGUCUGGAUAGCUUACAGUGGUCUGGGGAACAGGAUCUUAACAAUUGCCUCAGCAUUUCUGUAUGCCAUCCUUACAAACAGAGUCUUGCUUGUUGAUGGAGAUAAAGGCACGGCGGAUCUUUUCUGCGAACCAUUUCCUGAAACUUCAUGGUUCUUACCGUCAGAUUUCCCUACCAAGCACUUAAAGAACUUCAGUGCUGGCUCUCCUGAGAGUUAUGGAAACAUGCUGAAAAGUAAAGCUCUUAAGUCUAGCCCUGCUUUUCUGUAUCUUCAUUUGGCUCAUGACUACAGUGACUUCGAUAAGCUUUUUUUCUGCGAAGAUAAUCAGCAAUAUCUUCAAACAAUCCCAUGGUUGAUCCUAAAAUCAGAUAAUUACUUUGUACCUUCACUUUUCCUGAUACCAGCAUACCAAGAGGAACUCAUGAAGCUUUUUCGCCAGAGAGACACUGUUUUCCAUCACUUGGGACGUUACUUGUUUCACCCUAGCAAUGUCGUCUGGGGCAUGGUUACAAGAUACUAUGAUUCUUAUCUUGCAACGGCUGAUGAAAAGUUGGGUAUCCAAAUCAGAGUCUUCGAUACUGAAACUGGUCCAUUUCAGCAUGUCUUGGAUCAGGUCCUUGCGUGCACGCUGAAGGAACACUUGUUGCCAGAGGUUAAUACUCAAGAGCUAGUUGUCCCAUCAAGGAAGGCCAGGUCGAAAGCUGUUCUAGUUACUUCUUUGAACUCAGGAUACUAUGAAAAAUUCAGAAACAUGUAUUGGGAACAUCCUACCACAAAUGGCGAGACAAUUAGUUUCCACCAGCCUAGUCACGAGGAGCAUCAGAACUCGGACAAGAAAAUGCAUAACAUGAAAGCGUGGGCAGAGAUAUAUCUUUUAAGCCUAUCUGAUGUUAUGGUUACUAGUGCAUGGUCAACUUUUGGUUAUGUUGCCCAGGGUCUCAGUGGUUUGAAGCCAUGGCUUCUGUUCAAGCCUGAAAACCGAACUGCCCCUGAUCCACCUUGCCGCCAAGUUUUGUCCAUGGAACCUUGUUUUCAUGCUCCACCUUUCUAUGAUUGCAAAGCUAAGAGAGGAGUUGAUACAGGAAAACUUGUCCCACAUGUAAGACAUUGCGAAGAUAUGAGCUGGGGUCUUAAGCUAGUUGAUCAGAGUUAGUGGUACACAUGAACCGCAGACUUGCUCAGAUGAAUGGCAUUGAAUCUUCAUUUUGGAGCAUGUUGCAGCACUUACCCUGGCUGUAAGCCUUCAAGUGAGGCUUCUAUCCCAAGGAAUGUCCCUUCCUUUGCUUGUGAACCUGGAUGAAGAAAGUCCAUAUACCUCUUGGUCUCGACAAAUCUGUCGAGGAUCAGAGUAAUGAUAGAAACAGAACGUUUCAGUUGGAUGCGAAAUUACCCCAUCAAGAGAAGCUGGACAAAGAAGAGAGCUGUGGUGUUGGCGAAGUCAAAUUUUGUAGCACCUGCUUCAAACCACACCGGUAGGUUGCUGAUUCCUGAUACUCGGAUCAACUACAAAGAAAAAUGUCAAUUUGAUUCCAUUCUCCACUGUGCUUUUUUCCCGAAAUGGAGGAUGAGGCACGGGGUCUCAUCCUUCAUUUCGAAAAAAAGCACAGUGGAGCAUGGAUGACAUUGAUUUCAUGUUUUGGCUUCUGUAAGUGACGAUGCUUCAAUGUCCUAAGAAUGCUAUCAUGCUAGCAAUCAUUAGAACCACCAAAUAUUUUCGGUGUCUGAAAGUAACCUCUAG